rfam:Triticum urartu cultivar G1812 contig336511, whole genome shotgun sequence.
GCACCCUUUCAUCACCUAGAAAAAACAAAUGGAUAUAUGUGGGCUACAUGCCCACAAUAAUAUUAAAUUUAUUUUUUAUGCGGAAGAGGCCAUCACAGUAGCUUGCUAUUGGGCCUCUCGCGUGUCGACUAGGCGUUGCACUAUCGCCUAGGCUGGCACACCCCCA